CCAACGCGUUGGGAGCUCUCCCAUAUGGUCGACCUGCAGGCGGCCGCGAAUUCACUAGUGAUUCGUAUUACCGCGGCUGCUGGCACAGAGUUAGCCGGUGCUUAUUCUGUCGGUAACGUCAAAACACUAACGUAUUAGGUUAAUGCCCUUCCUCCCAACUUAAAGUGCUUUACAAUCCGAAGACCUUCUUCACACACGCGGCAUGGCUGGAUCAGGCUUUCGCCCAUUGUCCAAUAUUCCCCACUGCUGCCUCCCGUAGGAGUCUGGACCGUGUCUCAGUUCCAGUGUGACUGAUCAUCCUCUCAGACCAGUUACGGAUCGUAGCCUUGGUGAGCCAUUACCUCACCAACUAGCUAAUCCGACCUAGGCUCAUCUGAUAGCGCAAGGCCCGAAGGUCCCCUGCUUUCUCCCGUAGGACGUAUGCGGUAUUAGCGUCCGUUUCCGAGCGUUAUCCCCCACUACCAGGCAGAUUCCUAGGCAUUACUCACCCGUCCGCCGCUCUCAAGAGGUGCAAGCACCUCUCUACCGCUCGACUUGCAUGUGUUAGGCCUGCCGCCAGCGUUCAAUCUGAGCCAUGAUCAAACUCUAAUCGAAUUCCCGCGGCCGCCAUGGC
rnacentral:rRNA from 1 species